rnacentral:rRNA from 1 species
UACGAAGGGUGCAAGCGUUACUCGGAAUUACUGGGCGUAAAGAGUGUGUAGGCGGUGCUCUAAGUUCGGUGUGAAAUCUCCCGGCUUAACUGGGAGGGUGCGCCGGAAACUGGAGUGCUCGAGCGUGGGAGAGGAAAGCGGAAUUCCUGGUGUAGCGGUGAAAUGCGUAGAUAUCAGGAGGAACACCUGCGGUGUAGACGGCUUUCUGGACCAUUGCUGACGCUGAGACACGAAAGCGUGGGUAGCAAACAGG